rfam:Rattus norvegicus chromosome 10, whole genome shotgun sequence.
GGGGAUUUAGCUCAGUGGUAGAGCACUUGCCUAGCAAGUGCAAGGCCCUGGGUUCAGUUCCCAGCUCCG